CGCUGUGCUCUCCGCACUCCGAAGCCGGCGCCUGCCGCUGUGCGGAUGCGUGUGGACGAGUCCUCGUGAAAACAGCUCCCGACGUUUCCAAAAAAAGCACCAAACCCAAACAAACCGCCCACUUGGAUAAUUAAAACGGCUUCCUGGCACAGAGACAGCUUUUCCAAGGCUAUUGCAGACAUGAGAGAUGAAGCUGUAACUGUGAGGAAGAACCCAUGGCAAAGAAGUUCAUUAAAAUUAUGGCCAGAAGAUGCUGUGUCCCAAGGGAGGAACCCUGUAUCUGCAGAAGCAGCACUGUGGAGGAGAAUCCACAUCAGAGAUGUUCAUUGAGGACUGUGUCUUGUGUGAGGGACCCUGUAUCGGCAGAAGCUGCAGCUGCGGGGAAGAACACACACCAGAGAAGUUCAUUAAGGACUGUGUCCUGGGAGAGGAACCUCAUAUCAGAGCAGGGGAAGAAUGCAAGGAGUCAUCCUCAUCUGAGAAGAGAGAAGCGGCAGAGCCCAUCUGUGAGAGACUGACCACAUCCCCCAUUCCCUGCCCCCCUGAGCUGAUGAAGGAGGAAGAAGUAGAGAUACUGGGAGCAGUGAGCUGGACCCAGGAAGAAAGGAGGGAUGGGGAAGGGACAUCUUAAAAUGCUGGUUGUAAUUUUCUCAUCAUCCUACUCCCUUUUUGCUUUUAUUCCAUUCUGUUU